rnacentral:rRNA from 1 species
GACGAACGCUGGCGGCGCGCUUAACACAUGCAAGUCGAACGGAAAGGCCCUGCUUUUGUGUGGUGCUCGAGUGGCGAACGGGUGAGUAACACGUGAGUAACCUGCCCUUGACUUUGGGAUAACUUCAGGAAACUGCGGCUAAUACCGGAUAGGCGCUCCUGCUGCAUGGUGGGGGUUGGAAAGUUUCGGCGGCUGGGGAUGGACUCGCGGCUUCUCAGCUUGUUGGUGGGGUAGUGGCUUACCAAGGCUUCGACGGGUAGCCGGCCUGAGAGGGUGACCGGCCACGUUGGGACUGGGAUACGGCCCAGACUCCUACGGGAGGCAGCAGUGGGGAAGAGUACACAAUGGGCGGAAGCAUGAUGCGGCGACGCCGCGUGGGGGAUGACGGCCUUCGGGUUGUAAACCGCUUUCGCCUGGGACGAAGCGUGAGUGACGGUAAUGGGUAAAGAAGCACCGGCUAACUACGUG